UACGUAGGGGGCAAGCGUUGUCCGGAAUUAUUGGGCGUAAAGAGCGUGUAGGCGGUCCGGUAAGUCAGCUGUGAAAGUCAAGGGCUCAACCCUUGAAAGCCGGUUGAUACUGUCGGGCUAGAGUCCGGAAGAGGCGAGUGGAAUUCCCGGUGUAGCGGUGAAAUGCGUAGAGAUGUGGAGGAACACCAGUGGCGAAGGCGGCUCUUUGGUCUGUAACUGACGCUGAGGCGCGAAAGCGUGGGGAGCGAACAGG
rnacentral:rRNA from 1 species